GAUGAACGCUGGCGGCGUGCCUAAUACAUGCAAGUCGAGCGAACGGACGAGAAGCUUGCUUCUCUGAUGUUAGCGGCGGACGGGUGAGUAACACGUGGAUAACCUACCUAUAAGACUGGGAUAACUUCGGGAAACCGGAGCUAAUACCGGAUAAUAUUUUGAACCGCAUGGUUCAAAAGUGAAAGACGGUCUUGCUGUCACUUAUAGAUGGAUCCGCGCUGCAUUAGCUAGUUGGUAAGGUAACGGCUUACCAAGGCAACGAUGCAUAGCCGACCUGAGAGGGUAAUCGGCCACACGGGAACGGAGACACGGUCCAGACUCCUACGGGAGGCAGCAGGAGGGAAUCUGCCGCAAGGGGCGAAAGCCUGACGGAGCAACGCCGCGUGAGUGAUGAAGGUCUUCGGAUCGUAAAACUCUGUUAUUAGGGAAGAACAUAUGUGUAAGUAACUGUGCACAUCUGGACGGUACCUAAGCAGAAAGCCACGGCUAACUACGU
rnacentral:rRNA from 1 species